CAACUAUGAUGAAUCUUAUCCCGAACCUGAGUUUUUGAUGACACAAUCUCUUACGGAUCUGACUUCUGAGUU